CUCAGCAGCCAGGCAGAGAGAGGAAACCACAGGGGCUGGUGGAGCGUAUCCUCAGCAGCAGUGGUAGGAGGACUGGAGUGAGGACCUUGUUAACAGCCCGGAAGGAAAGGAUGGCAAGGAUGAUUCGAAUGAUUCAGUACCAGCGCUACCUAAACCCGGGGUCUCAGCUUCAAAAAGAUCUACAGCAGAAGGAAGCGGAGGAGGGUGAAACAAGAGUGGAAAGAUUCAGAUGUCGCUGUCAUUAUUGUCUGUAUCACAAAGAUCUUGCUGAGGAAACCAGCAUGGAGAAUAAUUAUGACGUGGAGCCAAUGUAAACAGACUUUUAUUCUUGAACUAUUUCUUUCUGCUAGUGAUUUUAGGAUCAUUUUGCAGCAGCUUGGAAGGCUGCUCUAUGUUAGGGCAAACUAAUAUUUUGAUAAUCUGUGAUAUUACAAGGGGUUUUUUUAAAUAUCUUUUUUUUUAUUAUUUUUUAUUUUUUAACCGUGAUGCCAGUAAUUUGUGAGGAGUCCUGUAGUUUGCAUUUGGAUGACUUCAGUAUACUUGCACCUUUUGAUUUGACCUAAGGAAGCACUAAUAGGUUUUGAAUGUUGCCUGUGUGUUUGAGAGACCUGAAGUCAUUAAGAUCUAAUAUCAAAAAUUAGAAGCCAAGUAACUUGUACAGAAGGAAUACAAGAAAACUCUGGGUGGUUUGGUAAGCAAAAUUAGAGUGGGUACAUAUGCUAGAUUUUCUGGUUUUCUGACAUUGUAAUUUUUUUUGUUGUGCCCUUCAGUUUUCAGUAGGAAGUGUGUGUGUAGAGGAUCUUAAUAAAAUUGAGUUAUUUGAAUAUC